rnacentral:rRNA from 1 species
CCUACGGGGGGCAGCAGUGGGGAAUAUUGGGCAAUGGGCGCAAGCCUGACCCAGCAACGCCGCGUGAAGGAAGAAGGCUUUCGGGUUGUAAACUUCUUUUCUCAGGGACGAAGCAAGUGACGGUACCUGAGGAAUAAGCCACGGCUAACUACGUGCCAGCAGCCGCGGUAAUACGUAGGUGGCAAGCGUUAUCCGGAUUUACUGGGUGUAAAGGGCGUGUAGGCGGGGACGCAAGUCAGAUGUGAAAACCACGGGCUCAACCUGUGGCUUGCAGUUGAAACUGGGAUUCUUGAGUACUGGAGAGGCAGGCGGAAUUCGUGGUGUAGCGGUGAAAUGCGUAGAUAUUAGGAAGAACACCAGUGGCGAAGGCAGUCUACUGGACAGCAACUGACGCUGAGGCGCGAAAGCGUGGGGAGCAAACAGGAUUAGAUACCCGGGUAGUC